rnacentral:rRNA from 1 species
AUAACGUUCGGAAACGGACGCUAAUACCGCAUACGUCCUACGGGAGAAAGCAGGGGACCUUCGGGCCUUGCGCUAUCAGAUGAGCCUAGGUCGGAUUAGCUAGUUGGUGAGGUAAUGGCUCACCAAGGCGACGAUCCGUAACUGGUCUGAGAGGAUGAUCAGUCACACUGGAACUGAGACACGGUCCAGACUCCUACGGGAGGCAGCAGUGGGGAAUAUUGGACAAUGGGCGAAAGCCUGAUCCAGCCAUGCCGCGUGUGUGAAGAAGGUCUUCGGAUUGUAAAGCACUUUAAGUUGGGAGGAAGGGCAGUAAAUUAAUACUUUGCUGUUUUGACGUUACCGACAGAAUAAGCACCGGCUAAC